rnacentral:rRNA from 1 species
UACGUAGGGGGCUAGCGUUGUCCGGAUUUAUUGGGCGUAAAGAGCGUGUAGGCGGCCAUGUAGGUCCGGUGUGAAAACUCGAGGCUUAACCUCGAGAUGUCAUCGGAAACCAUUUGGCUAGAGUCCGGAAGAGGAGAGUGGAAUUCCUGGUGUAGCGGUGAAAUGCGCAGAUAUCGGGAAGAACGCCCGUGGCGAAGGCGGCUUCCUGGCCUGUUCUUGACGCUGAGGCGCGAAAGCUAGGGGAGCAAACGGG